CUCAGUUCGGAUUGGAGUCUGCAACCCGACUCCAUGAAGCUGGAUUCGCUAGUAAUCGCGCAUCAGCCACGGCGCGGUGAAUACGUCCCCGGGCCUUGUACACACCGCCCGUCAAGCCAUGGAAGCCGGGGGUGCCUGAAGUGCGCUGCCGCAAGGAGCGCCCUAGGGUAAAACCGGUGACUGGGGCUAAGUCGUAACAAGGUACC
rnacentral:rRNA from 1 species